AAGCCCUGUGUCUGGGAUGGACUGCUGACGCUCCCUGCCCCCAUCUGUCCCUGACCAUCUGCUCCAGGGCGGUGGGGCCGCGAAAGGGAGCUUUUGUCACGUCUGUCCCCUGAGCCAUCUAACUGCCACACCUCGGAUGGAGGAGGGGUUGGUGUAUGAGACAGGCCAAGAGCACUCUACAGGAAUAAACAGAGCAGCAGAGGUGGGAAGGAAGCCCAGCUCUGUGUUUAAUCACUCACCGCUGUCGAAUUCAUCAGGAAUCUGGGGAAAAAAGGAAAGGUUUGAACCGGCAGAGGCAGGAGCCCAGCACAUUCAGUCUGCGAGUUCCAGGCUGAGUCCCAGAGAAGAAGGGAGAGGCUCAGUGCAGACUAUAGAGAGCCUGACCCAAUGGAAGGCAACCUGCCCCGCACCCUCACAGAACCGACCCCUCACACCUCUGCCUCUCACUCUCCUCACCUUGGUACCAUUUUCAUCCACAGGGUUGUUUCCUGCCAGGGAAGGAGACAAGAGACAAAUGAAGAAAACUGGAGCCUUGGAGCAGUGUCUACUGGGUCUGGAGGGGGGAGGAGAGUGAGGGGUGGGGACUCCCCACUCAAAGGGAUUAUGGCUAGAGGCACAGCUCCUGGAUAAAGGGAGGAAGAGGUUAGGGGUCAGGAUUCCAAGUGGGCUGGGGCUGAGCUGGACACACAAGGGGAAGGUAGACUUCUGCUGCUGAGAUGGACACAUAGCUUCAGGCACGGUGACAGGUUAUUUCUCCACCAAUACGAACCGCAGUCCCUUGUCCCAGGACUGAAACCAAGCACACUGGUCUAGCCCUACUCUUCCCACCAUUCCCUUAGUUCCUGAAUUCAGGUACAGGGAACAACUAGAGGAUAGAACUUUUAAGUACAAGGGGUCGAAGAGGACUUCUUGAAUUUCAAGCCUCAAGAUCAAGAACCAGGAAGUGGACAUCCAGAGCAGAAAACUGUGUCCCUGAAGGGGCGAGGACUACGACCAAUGGGAUCGCUGAGGUAGUGCGUGUGGACAGGAACCCGAGAGGGACAAAAAGAACUGGGCGGAGUACCUUUGGUGCGCUCCUAGUCGGUCUUUCCUCUGGCUGAGCGCGAAAUUGGAAUACUGUCAUCUGGCACCACGCCCCCUGGGGCCCUAAGGACCGCCACCAUCCAGUCGCUCGGACUUUGCCUUUCACCUCCCAUCGUUAGAAAUGGACAGAGGCCCAAAAAGUGAGCUGACCCAGCAUCCCUCAGUUUUUCUCACGUGGACCAGGAGGCUGAACCAGUCUUCUUUCCCGUCUCCAGAUCUCUUUUUACCCCUAACGCCGUGAGUUUGUAGAAAGGACUGGAGUAUCUUUCCUUUGCCCAACCACUCAUUUGGAUCUACCACUCAUCUGGAUUCAACCAAAGGAACGUUCCGUGCUGACUUGUUUAGGCUUUAGAGUGAUUAAGAAAGCAGUGAAUUAGGGGUGCGGGAGCCACCAUGAGUCUUGCCCAAGUUGUUUUCUAUUUGUUUGUUUAUUCAUUCCUUUAUUUGUUUAAUCAUUUAUUAUUCACUCGUUCAUUCACUCAUUUUAAAUGUAUGAGUGCACUGUCUGCAGGUACAAUUGCAUGCCAGAAGAGGGGAUCAUAUCUCUUUAUAGAUUGAACUCAGACCCUCUGGAAGAACAGCCAGU